UUCUCUUGAGAGCGGCGGACGGGUGAGUAAUGCCUAGGAAUCUGCCUGGUAGUGGGGGAUAACGUUCGGAAACGGACGCUAAUACCGCAUACGUCCUACGGGAGAAAGCAGGGGACCUUCGGGCCUUGCGCUAUCAGAUGAGCCUAGGUCGGAUUAGCUAGUUGGUGGGGUAAUGGCUCACCAAGGCGACGAUCCGUAACUGGUCUGAGAGGAUGAUCAGUCACACUGGAACUGAGACACGGUCCAGACUCCUACGGGAGGCAGCAGUGGGGAAUAUUGGACGAUGGGCGAAAGCCUGAUCCAGCCAUGCCGCGUGUGUGAAGAAGGUCUUCGGAUUGUAAAGCACUUUAAGUUGGGAGGAAGGGUUGUAGAUUAAUACUCUGCAAUUUUGACGUUACCGACAGAAUAAGCACCGGCUAACUCUGUGCCAGCAGCCGCGGUAAUACAGAGGGUGCAAGCGUUAAUCGGAAUUACUGGGCGUAAAGCGCGCGUAGGUGGUUUGUUAAGUUGGAUGUGAAAUCCCCUGGCUCAACCUGGGAACUGCAUUCAAAACUGACUGACUAGAGUAUGGUAGAGGGUGGUGGAAUUUCCUGUGUAGCGGUGAAAUGCGUAGAUAUAGGAAGGA
rnacentral:rRNA from 1 species